GGAGUCUGGGCCGUAUCUCAGUCCCAAUGUGCCCGUCCGCCCUCUCAGGCCGGGUACCCGUCGUAGCCUUGGUGGGCCUUUACCCCGCCAACAAGCUGAUGGGACGCAGGCCGUUCCUCCGGCGGAGCAGUUGCUCCUUUUCCUCCCGCACUUCCAGUAUGCGGGACCGUAUCCGGUAUUACCCUGCAUUUCUGCAGGCUGUCCCAGUCCAAAGGGUACGUCACCUACGCGUUACUCACCAGUCCGCCGCUCUCAGGAAAUAGCAAGCUAUCCCUUCCCGCUCGACUUGCAUGCUUAAGACGCGCCGCCAGCGUUCGUU
rnacentral:rRNA from 1 species